ACGGGUAUGAUGAAAUUGGUAGACGUUUUGGACUUAGGUUCCAAAUUUUGAGGGUUCAAGUCCCUCUACCCGUA
rnacentral:tRNA from 1 species